rnacentral:lncRNA from 1 species
GUCAAAACGCCGUAUUUUACAAACAAUAGCCAUGAGAUUUCUUUACCUGAUGAACUACGUGUAUAGAAAGCUAAAAUGAACAAUUAAAAUUACGAAGGCGAUCUACUCGAGCGUUGACAAGCGAUACUCCUUCGUCUUCACAGGCAAGUCGGUGAGUGAAGUAUUUUUCUAGCCUACAACGCAUGUAAGAGAAAAUCAAGUCUCGACGAUAGAAAAAAGCUUAUACAUUCUUUUCUUUUUUUUAAUAUUUCUCUAAACCACAAAACUUCAUCGCUAAACUGACUUAGUUACUAAAGGAUUCUCAAACACACAAGGAAUUUUGUUUUGCAAGUUACGGGACGCCAAGAACAGCUCAAUGUCUAUUUUCAGGCGUGAAAAAGGCCAGCAGACUCAUAAGAGUGCUCCAGGUAAAAAUCAAGUCCGAGUGAUCACUGGAGUCCAUGUCUUCUCUCUUUUGUUACUUGGGAGUUGGAGCCUUGCCAUCCUUGUUAAAAAGAAAAAGAAAAGGAAAAGGAAGAAACAUUGACAUUUCCUCUCUGCUCUCAGAGCAUCUGUCGCCGCUUCCUCCCCAAGGAGCAACAGAAGGUUAAAAGGGCAAGAUAGAAAGAAAGGAAGAAAAGGUUGUUUUGUGUUAGAAAGUGAAAACAAAAGGGUUUCCUUGUGGGUCCAUUGUAAAACAAGGUCCCACUCACAGUCUGAACCGAAUCCCCUCUGUGACUGGGGAAAUUUUUGGUAUUGCGAAGCUUAUCAUUUCCGGAAAUGAUCUUCCGUACCUAUUCGACGUGUCAUAGAAAUAGCCACUAAUACACUGCCACGAGUCCUGGCAGUGCCUCGAUUUGAUCGAUUAAACUUCCCUUUCACGGGACACUGCGGUCAGUAAAUCGGCGGCUGCGGCGCGUCCUUGUCGGUUUCCUCGGCUGCCCUGUCCGGAGGUUUUGUUGUCGGCCAACGCCGGUUGCUUUUUUUACUGUCACUGACACGAAAAUAAGCCCCUGGGCUAUUGAUGUUAAAGUUGGGUAGGUUUCGGACGCGUGAACGGGGACCAGUCGGAACGUGAUGGUUGGUUUUUGUGAGAUGCUGGAGAUGUGUUCGAGGUUUAAGAGGCUAUUUGAGCACUGGUUAAUAACGUGUGUGUGUGUGUGGUUGAACUCUGAUCAUUUGGGUCUGAUUCCGACAUUUCUGUUUUUACAUGCGAAUUGCAAGGCUACUGAUCAGUCUACUCUUCAAAAGUCAACAAUGCCCCUAUUAUUUUCAAGUAAUUGAUUAAAAGAAUGUUUGGGUUAGA